GGAGCUGAGCGGUUGGCGCCACUUUCAAAUCCUCCACUGACACAGAAUGAGAGUCCGGCUUCAAAUACAUUUUCACACCAGCUUACUUCUCCUUUUAAUCAUUAAUAUAGGGUGAGGAAUAUCUUAACAUAAUUUUACUUUGGGACCGUUUUUUCCUUGGAAGAAUCCAAAGUGAGGGGAGAAAGAUGGGCCUUGAGGUGACUCGUGUCCCUGGUCUGGGCCGGCAGAGCCCCUCCAUCAGUCGGUAAUGAUCUCAGCAGCAGACGUAACCGAGAAGAUAAGCAGUGUUUCAUCUACUCUUCACUUCCACCUCUCCUCCAUUUUGU